GGCUGCAGCUGAGUUGCUCGGGAUGCUGCUGCGCUGGCUGCUGCAGAGGCUCCAUCCCUCCACCGAGGAGGGGAGGAAGAGAGAGAGAGAGAGAGAGGGAGAGAAAACAAGGAGUGGUUCUGAUGUGAGAAGCGCACAAGAGAGAAAGGAAUAGUAGGGAGGGGGCGUUUUCCCGCACAGCCUCACACACACACACGGUGUGUGACACAUGGAGCGGCUGACGUAAAGGUGGACAUAGAGCAGCUCUCGGUGAGAACAGAAGACACGUCCACUUGAGUUGCCAUCAUCAGUGAGCCAGACAUGGACAGCUGGGAUGGAGGAAGAGGCAAAGAGGCAUGAUGGGGAGAGAGGACAAGAGGAGUAUAGGUGCUGUCCUUAAGGGGUUCACCUCCAGGAACCUCCUUGAAAUCUUAUUCAGACUGCAGGAGAUAAAAGGAUGUACACAAAAAAGGAGAAUAAUCCAGACCUGAGAGGAACGGAGGGGGGCCCUUUGCUCCGGUCUCGACCACGGGUAUUCUUGGGUUGAUAAUACAGAUGUGGAUGUUAUUGCUUGAGAAUACGCGUAGUCGAGUGGAAGCUUAAUCAACAGGAACCAAAAGCUAUUCAGUUGCCAACAAUGACAGAGACGAGACAGACACACAGGGAGGUGACAGACAUGGGGUGAUUUUUAAUUCAGCACCCAGAGGUGACUUAGUAAAGGGUGUGUGUGGGGUUUUUUGUCCUCCACUUUUAAAUUUAAUGCUAUCAGGUCUAGCCAGCUGUCUAAAUCAGCUCCAGCCACUGAAAAGGUUUUAUCGGUGCAGGUUUAUUAAUCAUGUCACUCAGUAGUCAGGUUCACCUCCCGGCGGUGACGCCACCAAGUUAAAGUUCAA